AGCUGUCACCAAAACUUGAUUUGAUUCAUUUUUAAAAACAGCUUUUUGCCUGUGGGCCUGAAGGUUUUUUGAUGCCAUCCAGCUCGGGUAAUCUGCAGAAAAGACUGGGUGCUGGAGUAGCUUCCAGCGGCACCCGGCCCUCACCCACACCCUGGGCAGGGCAUGUUUCCAUCACAGUUGUCAUACACCCUCUCAAGUGACUUUAGGCUAAGAACCUGUCAGCACCCUGAGCUUGGAAAUUUAUGCUGAUGAAACAUGUCUUUUAUCAGUUUCCUAUGUUGGCCUUCUAGGCUGAAAAUAAGAUUCUUCUGGAAAAAUCUACUUGAAAAUGGCAGCCUUGACUCCUCCGUCCUCGAAACUGCCCCAUGAGGCUGGGCUAGGGCCAGAACCCUCUCUCAGCAAAUGGAGAAAUGAAGGCUUGAAGAGGAAGCAUGACUUGUGUGGCGGCUGGAAUCCAGGGUGCUCCGGCCUCCAGCUCUGUGAGAGUGUGAAGAUGCCUUAAAGGGCUGUUGUGAAGACAUAAUGAACAGGCGUGUAAAACUUCUGGCACACACCCCAGUCUGGACUCGGAGUCAGCCUGGAACCCAGGCGCCAGUGGAUGCCUCACCUAGCUUGGAGACAUACAGGCAGCCUCAGAGUGGGCGGAGGCUGAGCUGGGCACCCCGUGCAGCCCGGCUCCUCCCAACAGAGACACAGCUCACAAUAACCCGCUCCACGUGUCCAGGUGUCAUUCUGCAUGGUUGGGAGGGUUCGCUGGUGAGAAGCUGAU